CACGUAGGGCGCAAGCGUUGUCCGGAAUUAUUGGGCGUAAAGAGCUCGUAGGCGGUCUGUUGCGUCCGCUGUGAAAACUCGGGGCUUAACCCCCGAGCCUGCAGUGGAUACGGGCAGACUAGAGGUAGGUAGGGGAGAAUGGAAUUCCCGGUGUAGCGGUGAAAUGCGCAGAUAUCGGGAGGAACACCGGUGGCGAAGGCGGUUCUCUGGGCCUUACCUGACGCUGAGGAGCGAAAGCGUGGGAGCGAACAGG
rnacentral:rRNA from 1 species